CCAUUGACUCCGUUUGACAUCCACUGUGGAAGCAAUUCUUAUUUAGUAAGAGUAAUGAAUACACAAUCCAGAGCCGUUUCUCAGGAUAAGUAAAAGCCAAAUGCCCACUUGGUACCAGUGGGAAGGAGUUUCAGCAUUUUGUCCCAAAAUGAGAACAGAGUUUAGAAUCCCUAAAAUAUCAGAAAAAAGAUAUUACUAACAGACCAGGAAACAGACUGAAGAGCGCGUUGUCCUGUUAUGUAAAAAAGGACGCAGUGGACUGAAAUAUCAAAGGUUGGCAAAGACAUUUUUUACCUUAAGCUAUUCCAAAUGAACAGAUUACUUCUGUGUGGCUUUGAAGGUUUGAGUAAUACGCCAA